rnacentral:rRNA from 1 species
UGGGGAAUAUUGCACAAUGGGGGAAACCCUGAUGCAGCGACGCCGCGUGAGCGAAGAAGGCUUUCGAGUCGUAAAGCUCUGUCCUAUGAGAAGAUAAUGACGGUAUCAUAGGAGGAAGCCCUGGCUAAAUACGUGCCAGCAGCCGCGGUAAUACGUAUGGGGCGAGCGUUGUCCGGAAUUAUUGGGCGUAAAGGGUACGUAGGCGGUUUUUUAAGUCAGGUGUCAAAGCGUGGAGCUUAACUCCAUUAAGCACUUGAAACUGAAAGACUUGAGUGAAGGAGAGGAAAGUGGAAUUCCUAGUGUAGCGGUGAAAUGCGUAGAUAUUAGGAGGAAUACCGGUGGCGAAGGCGACUUUCUGGACAGUAACUGACGCUGAGGCGCGAAAGCGUGGGGAGCAAACAGG